rnacentral:rRNA from 1 species
GAUGAACGCUGGCGGCGUGCUUAACACAUGCAAGUCGAACGAUGAAGCCCAGCUUGCUGGGUGGAUUAGUGGCGAACGGGUGAGUAACACGUGAGUAACCUGCCCUUAACUCUGGGAUAAGCCUGGGAAACUGGGUCUAAUACCGUAUAGGAGCGUCCACCGCAUGGUGGGUGUUGGAAAGAUUUAUCGGUUUUGGAUGGACUCGCGGCCUAUCAGCUUGUUGGUGAGGUAAUGGCUCACCAAGGCGACGACGGGUAGCCGGCCUGAGAGGGUGACCGGCCACACUGGGACUGAGACACGGCACAGACUCCUACGGGAGGCAGCAGUGGGGAAUAUUGCACAAUGGGCGCAAGCCUGAUGCAGCGACGCCGCGUGAGGGAUGACGGCCUUCGGGUUGUAAACCUCUUUCAGUAGGGAAGAAGCGAAAGUGACGGUACCUGCAGAAGAAGCACCGGCUAACUACGUG